rnacentral:snRNA from 2 species
CUAUCUUUUUUGUUUCUUAUCUAAUCCCACCUUUUAAUCCAGUGCCAUAUUAUUAUUUCUCUAAGUUAUGAUAUGUGGAUCAUUGGCCCACACGAUAUUAAAUUACUUUUUUAAAGGGGAGGGGCAACUCCAAGAGCUUGCUAUUGGGUCUCUUAGGUAUCGCCCAUGUGUUGUACUACUACAUGAGCUGGUGCACCCUAC